rnacentral:rRNA from 1 species
UAAGACGAGGGAUCCUAGCGUUGUUCGGAAUUAUUGGGCGUAAAGCGGAUGUAGGUGGCUUUGUAAGUCAGAUGUGAAAGCCCAGGGCUCAACCCUGGAAGUGCAUUUGAUACUGCGAAGCUUGAGUGUCGGAGAGGUUACUAGAAUUGUUGGUGUAGUGGUGAAAUACGUAGAUAUCAACAGGAAUACCGGAGGCGAAGGCGGGUAACUGGCCGAACACUGACACUGAGAUCCGAAAGCGUGGGGAUCAAACAGGAUUAGAUACCCUGGUAGUCCACGCCGUAAACGAUGGAUACUUGUUGUUGGAGGUAUUGACCCCUUCAGUGACGAAGCUAACGCGUUAAGUAUCCCGCCUGGGGAGUACGGUCGCAAGAUUAAAACUCAAAGAAAUUGACGGGGGCCCGCACAAGCGGUGGAGCAUGUGGUUAAUCGAUGCAACGC